GUUCAACUGAAGAAACAAAGACACCUACAUCUUGGAUGCGCUGGGGACUGGCCACGAAGCCCAACGCGGCACAUGAAGUUCUCACACCACACAGAAGUCAUGCUGCAGAGGUGUUUGCUUCAAACCAUCAUUUUCAGAAGCAAAUCUUCAAUAAAACAUUCUCACAUCUCAAAAAUCUGGAUCACGCUAGUCCAUAUGGUACAUCCUGACUGACAGAAGGAGACGGCCUGCUCUGUUAGUCCUUUCUAAACACCUCACUGCACUUAAGCAAACAAACGGCACACCAGAUGCAUCAAUCUCAGAGGACCUGAUACUUGGAGAAAUCCUCACUGGCAGAUAACUAAAACUUUGUGGAGGCAAGCAUGGGUUAGAAGAUCCAGUGGCUUCCAUGACUGGAGUCCACACAAACACAAAGCAUGAAAAUCUCCCCAAAUAAUGCCUUUUUUGUAGUAGCACUUGUCAUUUAUUUCCCUGCAUUGAAUGGUGCCAUUGUUGGAUAUUUUUGGAUUUUAUUUUCCAUGUUUUAUGGACCCAAACAUCAUAAGAUUGCUUCAAUAUUUCAUUAUAGAUGUUUCUGAAUCUCAGUUAUCCCUUGAUUCAGUCUGUGCAGUUGUGUUUUCAGAUCAUUUUCUGAGUCACAACACAAUCAUUUCCAUUUGUCAUGUUAUUGUUUGUUUUGCAUGGAAAAGGUACAUUGCCAAUAAGAUUGUUUGACUCAAAGGAGCUGAAGCAUGCCGGUCAGGCGGAGGAUGUGGUUAAGGGCUCUUCUCUGGGGACGAGGUGGUGUGUUGACUGAACUGGCAUGAGAAAGUGGUAUUGGGGGCUGGGUAACUGCUGUGUGUUCAGCUAUUUUAUUUAUUUUAUUUGGUGCAUUACUUAAGCUAACACAGAAUUCAGUUAUCUAAAUGUUUAUGAUGCACUUUAGGGGCGAAAAAUCGAUUGAUUAUUGAAUGAUUCUGGAUUGUUUUACAAGGACCAUCAAAAUAAAGUGUUAGAAGACAGCCUACUAAUACUCUAAUGAGAGUUAGUUGACAUGUAGUUGCAAAGAUACUUAUAGUUAGUAGAAUGUCAAAAGUGGACCAUCAAAAUAAAGUGUUACCAUCCUGUAUGUAUAAUGGAUUAUAAAUAUACUCAUAAUGUACGCUGUAAUGCAUCAUAGUUUUUCAUAAAUAUUUGUAACCAAAGUUAAAUGCAUUAUAAUUUUUGCAGCUUCCUUGUCACACCUGAAAUAAGUUGUUUGUCACGUGUUGUAAUGCAUUAUACUUUCUAAAAGUUUAGCGAUUAAUUAGGGAAGCUUUUGUCCACCACUAAAUAAAAAAUUCGGAGAAAAGUCAGAAUUGCGAGAUAUAAAGUGUGCA